AACGUGGGAGACAAACGUUAUCCGGAGUUACUGGGCGUAAAGGGCGUGUAGGUGGUUUCGUAAGUCUGGCGUGAAAUUUCUCGGCUUAACCGAGGCAGGUCGUCGGAUACUGCGGAACUAGAGGACGGUAGAGGCGUGUGGAAUUCCGGGUGUAGUGGUGAAAUGCGUAGAGAUCCGGAGGAACACCAGUGGCGAAGGCGACACGCUGGGCCGUACCUGACACUGAGGCGCGAUAGCAUGGGGAGCAAACAGG
rnacentral:rRNA from 1 species